CCUAGCUCAAUUGGUAGAGCAACUGACUUGUAAUCAGUAGGUUGGGGGUUCAAGUCCUCUGGCCGGCA
rnacentral:tRNA from 1 species